GACGUAGGGCGCGAGCGUUGUCCGGAUUUAUUGGGCGUAAAGAGCUCGUAGGCGGCUUGUCGCGUCGACUGUGAAAUCCCGCGGCUCAACUGCGGGUCUGCAGUCGAUACGGGCAGGCUAGAGUUCGGUAGGGGAGACUGGGAUUCCUGGUGUAGCGGUGAAAUGCGCAGAUAUCAGGAGGAACACCGGUGGCGAAGGCGGGUCUCUGGGCCGAUACUGACGCUGAGGAGCGAAAGCGUGGGGAGCGAACAGG
rnacentral:rRNA from 1 species